rnacentral:rRNA from 1 species
AUGCACGCUGGCGGCGUGCCUAAUACAUGCCAGUCGCGCGAACAGACGAGGAGCUUGCUCCUCUGACGUUAGCGGCGGACGGGUGAGUAACACGUGGAUAACCUACCUAUAAGACUGGGAUAACUUCGGGAAACCGGAGCUAAUACCGGAUAAUAUAUUGAACCGCAUGGUUCAAUAGUGAAAGACGGUUUUGCUGUCACUUAUAGAUGGAUCCGCGCCGCAUUAGCUAGUUGGUAAGGUAACGGCUUACCAAGGCAACGAUGCGUAGCCGACCUGAGAGGGUGAUCGGCCACACUGGAACUGAGACACGGUCCAGACUCCUACGGGAGGCAGCAGUAGGGAAUCUUCCGCAAUGGGCGAAAGCCUGACGGAGCAACGCCGCGUGAGUGAUGAAGGUCUUCGGAUCGUAAAACUCUGUUAUUAGGGAAGAACAAGUGUGUAAGUAACUAUGCACGUCUUGACGGUACCUAAUCAGAAAGCCACGGCUAACUACGUG